rnacentral:rRNA from 1 species
AAUUUUAUUUAACGGGAAGAACCUUACCAGGGCUUGACCUACACGAGAACGGGCCAGAAAUGGUUAACUCUUUGGACACUCGUGAACAGGUGGUACAUGGUUGUCGUCAGCUCGUGUCGUGAGAUGUUGGGUUAAGUCCCGCAACGAGCGCAACCCUCGUUCUAUGUUGCCAGCGCGUAAUGGCGGGAACUCAUAGGAGACUGCCGGGGUCAACUCGGAGGAAGGUGGGGAUGACGUCAAAUCAUCAUGCCCCUUAUGUCUUGGGCUUCACGCAUGCUACAAUGGCCGGUACAAAGGGCUGCAAUACCGUAAGGUGGAGCGAAUCCCAAAAAGCCGGUCUCAGUUCGGAUUGUAGGCUGCAACUCGCCUACAUGAAGUUGGAAUCGCUAGUAAUCGUGGAUCAGC